rnacentral:rRNA from 1 species
GGGUGAUGGCCUACCAAGGCGACGACGGGUAGCCGGCCUGAGAGGGUGUCCGGCCACACUGGGACUGAGAUACGGCCCAGACUCCUACGGGAGGCAGCAGUGGGGAAUAUUGCACAAUGGGCGCAAGCCUGAUGCAGCGACGCCGCGUGGGGGAUGACGGCCUUCGGGUUGUAAACCUCUUUCACCAUCGACGAAGGUCCGGGUUUUCUCGGAUUGACGGUAGGUGGAGAAGAAGCACCGGCCAACUACGUGCCAGCAGCCGCGGUAAUACGUAGGGUGCGAGCGUUGUCCGGAAUUACUGGGCGUAAAGAGCUCGUAGGUGGUUUGUCGCGUUGUUCGUGAAAUCUCACGGCUUAACUGUGAGCGUGCGGGCGAUACGGGCAGACUAGAGUACUGCAGGGGAGACUGGAAUUCCUGGUGUAGCGGUGGAAUGCGCAGAUAUCAGGAGGAACACCGGUGGCGAAGGCGGGUCUCUGGGCAGUAACUGACGCUGAGGAGCGAAAGCGUGGGGAGCGAACAGGAUUAGAUACCCUGGUAGUCCACGCCGUAAACGGUGGGUACUAGGUGU